rnacentral:rRNA from 1 species
CAGUCGCCGCGGGAAUACGAAGGGUGCAAGCGUUAAUCGGAAUUACUGGGCGUAAAGGGAGCGUAGGCGGACAUUUAAGUCAGGGGUGAAAUCCCAGAGCUCAACUCUGGAACUGCCUUUGAUACUGGGUGUCUUGAGUGUGAUAGAGGUAUGUGGAACUCCGAGUGUAGAGGUGAAAUUCGUAGAUAUUCGGAAGAACACCAGUGGCGAAGGCGACAUACUGGAUCAUUACUGACGCUGAGGCUCGAAAGCGUGGGGAGCAAACAGGAUUAGAUACCCGAGUAGUCCCUGUCUCUUAUAC